CAGGUACUCGAAUGGAGGUUGUCCAUGGUGUGUUCAUUUUAUUUAUGAUGAGUAUUACAUGGCCAAUCUCCUUUCAGUACUAAAUUCUUCUUGGG
ensembl:miRNA MIR496 microRNA 496